UUUAAAUUUAGAGUUUGAUCCUGGCUCAGGACGAACGCUGGCGGCGUGCUUAACACAUGCAAGUCGAGCGAUGAAACUUCUUUCGGGAAGUGGAUUAGCGGCGGACGGGUGAGUAACACGUGGGUAACCUGCCUCAAAGUGGGGGAUAGCCUUCCGAAAGGAAGAUUAAUACCGCAUAAUAUAAGAGAAUCGCAUGGUUUUCUUAUCAAAGAUUUAUUGCUUUGAGAUGGACCCGCGGCGCAUUAGCUAGUUGGUAAGGUAACGGCUUACCAAGGCAACGAUGCGUAGCCGACCUGAGAGGGUGAUCGGCCACAUUGGAACUGA
rnacentral:rRNA from 1 species